rnacentral:ncRNA from 1 species
AAUAAACCAUUGAUGUGGAGAUCAAGAUUGUUGUGCACGUAAAGAGAGCCACCGCUGCUGAGAGUGUGGUCGAACGCAAACAGUUAAAUGGACCACAGAGGGUUCUUCUGAAAGUUACGAGUACGAAGAAACGUCAGACAUACGUCAGUUGUCGGGAGCGUGCUAGCGCUUUGCUAAGGGUGAUGACGGUCUUUUUGUCAUCAAAUUAAGGUGGUACCGCGGAAAAUCCGUCCUUAAA